AUGGCAGACGAGACGAUCGCGUCGGCUUAAUCGGCCGCCGAGGAAAGUCCGGGCUCCUGCGGGCAGCGCAGCACCUAACGGGUGUCCGCCGUGGGCAGUGGUUGUCUUUCUCCGUCAGGAGAAAACAACUGCGGUCGUAAGGCGAGGACUAGUGCCACAGAGACGAUGUACAGGCGGUUUGUUUUGCCGUGCUGUAGUGAAAAGAGGUAAACUCUGCGCGGAGCAAGAGUAAAUAGAGGACGAGAGCGCCCGCCUCGUUAGCAGUCCCGGGUUGCUUGCUUGAGCCAGUCGGCGACGGCUGGCCUAGAUAAAUGAUUGUCUGAAAAACAGAACCCGGCUUAAUGGUCUGCCAUAGCU
rnacentral:RNase_P_RNA from 1 species